AGCUCUGAGGUGUUGCACACAUUAGAUUGCAAAUCUGAAGUAGCAGGUGAGUACCUGCCAGAGCUU
rnacentral:tRNA from 1 species